rnacentral:rRNA from 1 species
UCGAGAAUCUUCGGCAAUGGGCGCAAGCCUGACCGAGCGACGCCGCGUGCGGGACGAAGGCCUUCGGGUUGUAAACCGCUGUCAGAGAGGCGGAAAUGCCUAGGGGUUCACCCCUAGGUUUGACCUAAUCUCAGAGGAAGCACGGGCUAAGUUCGUGCCAGCAGCCGCGGUAACACGAACCGUGCGAACGUUAUUCGGAAUUACUGGGCUUAAAGAGUUCGUAGGCGGCGUGUUAAGUUGGGUGUGAAAUCCCUUGGCUCAACCAAGGAAUUGCGCUCAAAACUAGCAUGCUUGAGGAAGACAGGGGUAAGCGGAACUGAUGGUGGAGCGGUGAAAUGCGUAGAUAUCAUCAGGAACACCGGUGGCGAAGGCGGCUUACUGGGUCUUUUCUGACGCUGAGGAACGAAAGCUAGGGGAGCGAACGGG